AUGCCCCACGCGGAAAGAUCGCUUCCUAUGCGCCGUUCAUGCCGCUCAACGACUGCUCGAUAUGUUUGCUGACU
rnacentral:sRNA from 1 species